rnacentral:rRNA from 1 species
ACGGCUCAGUAACACGUGGACAACCUGCCCAAAGGCCCGGGAUAACCCCGGGAAACUGGGGAUAAUACCGGAUAAAUCACGAGUACUGGAAGGUUUUGUGGUUGAAACUUCCGGGGCCUUUGGAUGGGUCUGCGGCGGAUUAGGUUGUUGCCGGUGUAACGUACCGUCAAGCCUGUAAUCCGUACGGGUUGUGGGAGCAAGAGCCCGGAGAUGGAUUCUGAGACACGAAUCCAGGCCCUACGGGGCGCAGCAGGCGCGAAAACUCUACAAUGCAGGCAACUGCGAUAGGGGAACAUCGAGUGAUACUCAUUUUGGGUGUCUGUCCCACCGUCUAAAAAACGGUGGUUAGCAAGGGCCGGGCAAGACCGGUGCCAGCCGCCGCGGUAAUACCGGCGGCUCGAGUGGUGGCCGAUAUUAUUGAGUCUAAAGGGUCCGUAGCCGGCUUUGCAAGUCUUUUGGGAAAUCCAGCGGCUUAACCGUUGGUCGUCCGGGAGAUACUACAUUGCUUGGGACUGGGAGAGGUAAGAGGUACUCAGGGGGUAGGAGUGAAAUCCUGUAAUCCUUUGGGGACCACCGGUGGCGAAGGCGUCUUACCAGAACAGGUCCGACGGUGAGGGACGAAAGCUAGGGGCACGAACCGGAUUAGAUACUCGGGUAGUCCUAGCCGUAAACGAUGCUCGCUAGGUGUCACAACAAUCGUGAAUUGUUGUGGUGCCGUAGGGAAGCCGUGAAGCGAGCCACUUGGGAAGUACGACCGCAAGGUUGAAACUUAAAGGAAUUGGCGGGGGAGCAC